GUGAAGAGUUAGCCAUCAGGUCUUACGAAUGAACAGCCUUUUCCAGGCCCUAAUGCCUAUCAUUAGAAGAUUCGCCACUACCCCGAGUUGCCAGUAGCUAUUAAAUCCUACGUUAUAAAAUUGGGGAAUGCUAGCUACAGUUACUUGUAAAAGUGACUGUCCAACAAUUUUUUUCUUAUUAGUUGAAAGAGUAUUUAAUAAAUUUUAGGUAACUUGUUAUCUAUUAUCACAAGUUUUUUUUUCAUCUUUUCCAUAAU
rnacentral:misc_RNA from 1 species